rnacentral:rRNA from 1 species
GACGAACGCUGGCGGCGUGCCUAAUACAUGCAAGUAGAACGCUGAAGAGAGGAGCUUGCUCUUCUUGGAUGAGUUGCGAACGGGUGAGUAACGCGUAGGUAACCUGCCUUGUAGCGGGGGAUAACUAUUGGAAACGAUAGCUAAUACCGCAUAACAAUGGAUGACACAUGUCAUUUAUUUGAAAGGGGCAAUUGCUCCACUACAAGAUGGACCUGCGUUGUAUUAGCUAGUAGGUGAGGUAAUGGCUCACCUAAGCGACGAUACAUAGCCGACCUGAGAGGGUGAUCGGCCACACUGGGACUGAGACACGGCCCAGACUCCUACGGGAGGCAGCAGUAGGGAAUCUUCGGCAAUGGGGGCAACCCUGACCGAGCAACGCCGCGUGAGUGAAGAAGGUUUUCGGAUCGUAAAGCUCUGUUGUAAGUCAAGAACGGGUGUGAGAGUGGAAAGUUCACACUGUGACGGUAGCUUACCAGAAAGGGACGGCUAACUACGUG